rnacentral:rRNA from 1 species
AAUACAGAGGGUGCAAGCGUUGUUCGGAAUUAUUGGGCGUAAAGCGCGUGUAGGCGGCUUUGCAAGUCGGGUGUGAAAGCCCUCAGCUCAACUGAGGAAGUGCGCCCGAAACUGCAGAGCUUGAGUACCGGAGAGGAUGGCGGAAUUCCCCAAGUAGAGGUGAAAUUCGUAGAUAUGGGGAGGAACACCGGUGGCGAAGGCGGCCAUCUGGACGGAUACUGACGCUGAGACGCGAAAGCGUGGGGAGCAAACAGGA